AUUUCUUUGGAGUAACGGCAGCAGAUGAUAUUGGACAACUAAUACGCGUUUGGGCUUAAGUGGUAAUGUACUUAUUACUACGCAAGGUGCCAGUUAUGUGUAGCAUUCCCGCUUAAAAUUGCAUACAUCAAUGGUAAUCUUAUGCCUUUUACAU